AGGUGAAAUUAAAGUUUAAUUGUAAUAAUAAGAGUUUAUUAAUAAUUUAGAAGCUGUGAAGUUUUAGGGUAAAACCAGGAUUAGAUACCCUGUUAUGCUAUCUUGAAAUUUGGAGACUUGAGUAGUAAGUAGUUAUGUUCUUGAAACUUAAAGAAUUUGGCGGUAUUUAAGUCCAAUUAGAGGAACCUGCACUAUAAACGAUAAACCACGAAUUAUUUUAUUUUAUUUAUAUUAGUUUGUAUAUCGCCAUUAUAAAUAAUGUGUAGAAGUAAUUAUUGAGAUAGAUUAUUUUAGGAUAUUAGGUCAAGGUGCAGCUGAUAGUAAAGGAGCUGUGGGUUACAAUAUAUUUAAUAUAUGAUGAAUAAAUUUAUGAAGUUAGGUUUUGAAGGUGGAUUUAAUAGUAUGAUUAUUUUAAUAAGGCAAUUAGAUGAAGGCUCUUAGAUAUGUACAUAUCGCCCGUCGCUCUCGUUAGUUAAAGUGAGAUA
rnacentral:rRNA from 1 species